UUCUUCAGGGUUGGGUGCAAUUCCCUACCGGCGGUGAAGCUGUAUAUGGCAGAUGCCUUUACAGAUGAGUCCGCGACCCGUCAUCGGCGGCUGAUCCGGUUGGAAUCCGGAACCGACAGUACAGUCUGGAUGGAAGAAGAA
rnacentral:ncRNA from 1 species